rnacentral:rRNA from 2 species
CUCAGACGUGAAUACCCGCUGAACUUAAGCAUAU